UACGUAGGGUGCGAGCGUUGUCCGGAAUUAUUGGGCGUAAAGAGCUUGUAGGCGGUUUGUCGCGUCUGCCGUGAAAAUUCGAGGCUCAACCUCGAACUUGCGGUGGGUACGGGCAGACUAGAGUGUGGUAGGGGAGACUGGAAUUCCCGGUGUAGCGGUGAAAUGCGUAGAGAUCGGGAGGAACACCAGUGGCGAAGGCGGCUACCUGGACCAGCACUGACACUGAGGCACGAAAGCGUGGGGAGCAAACAGG
rnacentral:rRNA from 1 species